GAUGAAGAACGUAGCUAAAUGCGAUACGUAAUGUGAAUUGCAGAAUUCAGUGAAUCAUCGAGUCUUUGAACGCACAUUGCGCCCUCUGGUAUUCCGGAGGGCAUGCCUGUCCGAGCGUCAUUGCUGCCCUCAAGCACGGCUUGUGUGUUGGGCUCCGUCCCCCGAUCCCGGGGGACGGGCCCGAAAGGCAGCGGCGGCACCGCGUCCGGUCCUCGAGCGUAUGGGGCUUUGUCACCCGCUCUGUAGGCCCGGCCGGCGCUUGCCGAUCAACCAAAUUUUUAUCCAGGUUGACCUCGGAUCAGGUAGGGAUACCCGCUGAACUUAAGCAUAUCAAUAAGCGGAGGA
rnacentral:misc_RNA from 1 species